rnacentral:lncRNA from 1 species
CUCCUAGAGCUAGCUAGUUUAGUCUGCUACGGUUUGGGGGUGCUUUGGGUUUCAAUUCACUACAGCAGAAGCACCAUUUUUUUGCCUUUUUCAGUUAGAUGCCUUUGGGUUGUUUGGCAUCAUAACCUGUUCAUGGAGAUUUGUUUUUGGUAGAUGCAGAGUAUAGAUUAAGUAUUCCAUAAAAUUCACCACAUGAGUAUACUACUUAAUAUCCAAUAGUUUACUUAAUUUCUUUGCACUACCUUGUUGUUUGACCGCUAUUUUUAUGGUUUGGAUGUAUAUACGAGAUGGUGGGCUAUUGGAUGUGGAUUGUGAGUCCACGGCAAGACUGAGCAUUCUUUUAUCAACUUGCUGUACACUUGCUCUGCUUGAGGCUACUAUAUAACUUGUGCCUUUUAACUUGAUGUGCAUAGCAUGCAAUUUUUUAUUGUAUCACGUUCACAGUUUCUGAAUCCUACUACCCAUUUCUGUACAAUAUCAAUAGCGUGUUUGGUUUGCAUUGAUCCUUAGCAGUUUGUGUCAAAUGCAGGUGCUUUGCCUCUCCACGGGCUCGUUCACCAUUCGUUCAACUUCAGAGCUCAUCAGGUCUGUUCUUGCCCUAACCAAGAUGUUCAAGUAUGUUAGGUUUGCAAUAAUAUUUAGUAUUGGUUUGGCUCUUGCAAUGCAUAGACAUAGCAGGAUAUACUCCUGUGUGCUACUAAAUGUCACGGAGAAGAAAAAAAGAUGCCAAGUAAAAAGAAAUUGUUUAUAACUUGAACACUAGCUGAAUUUACAGCAAAACUAAUUUGUAGAACAAAACCUGGAUUAGAUCGACAAAUCCUUAGCAUAUCAAACGUGCCACUUUGGAAAUAUCAGCCUGUAGCACAUAAUAUGUUAUCUUAUUGCUGCUGUGUUACUGUAUCCUAGUAAUUCUGCGGUGUCACUGUAUCCCAGUAAAGCAAGAUGCUUGUUAUACUCUUGUUCCUGAUGAUAUUGGUGUACACUCAAUUUGGUUAUUUCUUCUAGUUCUGCUACUAGUUGCUGUGUACUCCUAGUGCUGUAGUUGUUGUGUAGUAAUACAGAAAUAUUAAUGCUCAAAUAUGAUGAUCUGGCCUACAGCACACCUACAGUUUUCAUUUCUAUGAUCAAUUUAGAGAGUUGCACAUGUGAGUAUAUUGUAUACUAAAAAAUCCUAGCUAGUGAGAACAUUUUAGUCGCUCCAUGAACGCAUACUGGUUAGUGUUAGUCAUACUAUUUAUGUACAUCUCAUUUGCUGUCAAUUCUUGCUUAUAAGUUAUUGGAUCCCUCAUUGGCUACUGUUUGAUGUUCUGUGCACAUUCUUAUUCUUAUAUGUUCAUUCUUGUUUUUUGCACAGGUGAAGUGCGAAUCCAAGUUUGAAGUUGUGAAGCAUAUCAACAAACACUAGCAUAUUAUGUGUUAUAAAUGUAGGCAGUAGUAGGCUUAUCUGGGCUGUAGUAUACUGUAAUGUUUGUAAUAGACUAAUGCCGUGUUUUUUUGGACGAAUUUCAUUUGCUAUUUGGAUUGUUUGAAAUAAUGAUUGUGUAUGUGAUUUGAAUACCUGUCAAAUGGAAACCUGACAAGGGGGUCCAAGUUA